AACGAACGCUGGCGGCAGGCUUAACACAUGCAAGUCGAACGCGUGUAGCAAUACACGAGUGGCGCACGGGUGAGUAACGCGUGGAUAUCUGCCUUUUGGUUCGGAAUAACCCCGGGAAACUGGGGCUAAUACCGGAUGGUUCCUUCGGGAUAAAGAUUUAUCGCCAAAAGAUGAGUCCGCGUCCGAUUAGCUAGUUGGUGAGGUAACGGCUCACCAAGGCGACGAUAGGUAGCUGGUCUGAGAGGACGAUCAGCCACACUGGGACUGAGACACGGCCCAGACUCCGACGGGGGGCAGCAGUGUGGAAUAUUGGACAAUGGGGGCAACCCUGAUCCAGCCAUGCCGCGUGAGUGAUGAAGGCCUUCGGGUUGUAAAGCUCUUUUGGCGGGGACGAUGAUGACGGUACCCGCAGAAUAAGCCCCGGCUAACUUCGUGCCAGCCGCCGCCGUAA
rnacentral:rRNA from 1 species